rnacentral:rRNA from 1 species
GUAGGGAAUAUUGGGCAAUGGAUGCAAGUCUGACCCAGCCAUCCCGCGUGCCGGAAGAAGGCCCUCAGGGUUGUAAACGGCUUUUGACGGUGAAGAAUCGACAGGAUGCGUCCUGUUUUUACGGUAGCCGUUGAAUAAGCACCGGCUAACUCCGUGCCAGCAGCCGCGGUAAUACGGAGGGUGCGAGCGUUGUCCGGAUUUAUUGGGUUUAAAGGGUGCGUAGGCUGGAAGGUCAGUCAGCGGUGAAAAGCUGUCGCUUAACGAUAGUCUUGCAGCAGAUACUUCCUUUCUUGGAUGAGGAGGAGGCCACUGGAACGGAUGGUGUAGCGGUGAAAUGCAUAGAUAUCAUCCAGAACACCGAUUGCGAAGGCAGGUGGCUGUACCUUAAUCGACGCUGAUGCACGAAAGCAUGGGGAGCAAACAGGAUUAGAAACCCGGGUAGUCC